CGUAUACGUAGUUAAAAUGUAUAUUGUAUUUUUCGCUGACUUUGCUCUAUUUUUAAGGUUUUAAAAGUAAUAUAGGCCACUCCUUCAUGUGACCACAGUGAAUUGAAAUUGUAUAAAAACCAACUCCAUUUGGAUAUUUGACAAAAGUUUUGUUUUCGGCUUUCAACGUAGACAUUAUAGUUACAGUUUCAACGUGGUUAUUGUUGUAAGAAAACGAAACAAUGUUCACAGUGAAAAUGUUCCUUGUUGGUAUUGCUGUUAUCCAUGUACUAGGUAAACAGGAAGAAAAGACAUGUAGUGCGGAUAACAAGAACACAUGCGAUCCUUGCGGAUUAACUGGAAAAUGGGUGAAUGAGCUUGGAUCUAAAUUGGAAAUAACAUGCAAACUCGAUUCACCGGACCGGAAUUCAACAGGAGAAAUCAUUGGCAAGUAUAAUAGUGCCGUAGGUGCUGCUGCAAAUUAUUAUCCAUUAUCGGGAAGAUUUACAAUACCUGAUCCGGAGCCUAGGAAUUGUAUCGUAGGAUUUGUCGUAGCGUGGAACAAUGAAGCAUAUGGUAACUCAAAUUCUGCAACUAGCUUUACAGGAUCGUAUUAUAAAGACACCGAUAAAAUAUAUACCUUCUGGAUACUGACUAGAUACACGAAAUUUAUAGAUAUGUGGGAGAACAGCAACAUUGGGCAGAACGUCUUUACCAGAAUUCUUACUAAUUAAACUGAUAUUGUUACGUAAUAUUUUCAUUCUGGUUUUUUUUUUCAAUGAUUCUUAAAGUAAACAAGAAAUGGGAUAAAACAAAUCCCUCUUUAUUUUUAACAAAUAUAAAAAGCAAUUGGUUGCUAUUUAUAAUUUCCUUUUUAAUUCAAUCUUCAAUGAAUCAUGUGUUGAAAGAAGGAUGAACAUAUGUGUUAAACGUUACCCUUUUCCCAGAAAUAUCUUGUGAAAUAAUAAUUGUCUUUAAAAACAGAAAGUGCCUCAAUCGAUUCUACGUUAAUUUUUGUCUGUCUAUCAAAUAAAAACAAUUGGUUUUUUUUACAAAUAAUAAAAAUAACUUUAAUACCUUUUUAAUAAUAACUUCUUAUUUUGUC